GUAUUUACAUCUUUGUUCUUUGUCCUUUGAAAAAUAAUGCAAUAAAAAUUAUAUUCAUUCCUUUAAAACCUAAACAUUAGCUGCAACAUGUUACUUUAAAAGAUUAAACAAAAUGUAAACAAGUACGUUCAUUGAUUGUGCGAUUUUAUGCCAAUAAUCUGCGUCAAUAACAGAGUUGACCGGCUCUUAUUUCUGUCUGUUCUGUUUUUUAUGACAAAACUUCAGAUUUUUAUUUUCCUCAAAUCAACAAAUAUCACCUGUUAUCCACUUCCUGAGCUAAAACUCCGUCUUUGUUUUCUUCUCUUGUCUUUGCAGCGGUUCUCGGGGGCUGGACGUGUGGUCGUGUCAGUGGCGUCCCAGACUUGCUUUAGCUGCCUGUGUCCAAGUAAAAGCCGCAGGCAACUUAAAACAAGCCUUGAAAGCUAGACUGGUCCGAGGGUGGAGCGGCGGUCGACUGUGGAUGUGCAGAUGCUAAUCCGUACCUGCGUAACGCGAGCCGAACGAACAAAACUUCAUCUUCAGGUAUUGUGCGUGUGGCUCAACGUGAGGCAAAUACAGACAGGGAAAAGUCACAGACACGACGACAGUCUUUACCCCCGGUCCUCAGUCAGACAGACAGACAGACAGACAGACUGGACCUGACGGUCCGGAGCCCAACAGCUGUCAGUCAAAGCUCGUGGACGGAGACCUGAAAACAUCAGAACAG